AGGGUUAUAUGAUCAAGUAAU
rnacentral:rRNA from 1 species